GGUUCUAGUGACAACUGGCGGCUAUUUGUAUUACGUGUCUACCAAAACCCAAGAAGUAGUAUUCCAAACUCGCUUCAAUGCGAAGCAUGCUAUCAAAGCUUACUAUGAUGGCGAUGCUGAGAAACCCUUGAUUGUGUGUACACCCAGCCAGAGAAUAUCCAUUUCAGUCGAGGACGGGAAAAUUAUCAAAAAGCCACAUCAAUACAAUUUUGCAGAUGUUGUUGAUUUGGUGUCCGCUGGUGGUGUCACAGCGAUCCUCAGAAACAAGCACUUAGAACUACUGGAGGGUGACAAGCGAACUACCGUGACUAUACAACAGGCACGGCCAGAGAUGAUGUACAUCUCCGAAUACAAAAAGUCUGUCUUCUGGAGCAGUGUACAGAAUGACCAAAUAUUAAUUACAG